rnacentral:lncRNA from 1 species
CUCUGAUUGACCUAUUAGAGAGAGAUUGCAAUGGAGGAGAUUGCAAUGGAGAUGACUGCACUUCCUUACCAGUAUGCCUAUGGAACCACACGACAGUGGACAUUUGAAUCUGCAGCACCGGUUCAUUGAUCAAAAGGCACAGCUGUUUUGCUCCUGGGUGUUAACUCCACCUCUGGCAUUCUCUACUCCUCUCCUAUGGCAUACUUAUGAAUUAUCUUUUGCGUGGCCCCAAGAAACAUUAUUAAUACACAUUGAAGGACAGUUUAACCAUGAAUAUUAAUGACCCAAG